rnacentral:rRNA from 1 species
CCUACGGGAGGCAGCAGUGGGGGAUAUUGCACAAUGGGGGGAACCCUGAUGCAGCGACGCCGCGUGGGUGAAGGAGUAUUUCGGUAUGUAAAGCCCUAUCGGCAGGGAAGAAUUUAGACGGUACCUGACUAAGAAGCCCCGGCUAACUACGUGCCAGCAGCCGCGGUAAUACGUAGGGGGCAAGCGUUAUCCGGAUUUACUGGGUGUAAAGGGAGCGUAGACGGCUGCGCAAGUCUGAAGUGAAAGCCCGGGGCUCAACCCCGGGACUGCUUUGGAAACUGUGUAGCUAGAGUGCUGGAGAGGCAAGCGGAAUUCCUAGUGUAGCGGUGAAAUGCGUAGAUAUUAGGAAGAACACCAGUGGCGAAGGCGGCUUGCUGGACAGUAACUGACGUUGAGGCUCGAAAGCGUGGGGAGCAAACAGGAUUAGAUACCCCAGUAGUC